CUGUCAAGGAAGCUGAGUCUUACUUGAGAGAUCGGUGAAAACAGAGGCCCUGGGCCCUUCCACCCCACCCAAGGGUUCUGCCACUCACAGAGCUGCCGACAUCACCACCUCGGUAGUCACCUACGAAGACUUAGGGGUCACAUGGAAAGGAGUGACGUUUGUUCCCACGAGUCUGGAGGCCAGCAGCUCCCAAGUCCCAGGUUCCUGGCCUAGUUCUCCAUCCACAGCCCUUCCAGUGCCAUUUCUGCUCCUUCCUUCGCUGAAGACAGUUCCCCAAGGGUUCCUGUGCUGUCCUCUCACCAGCCAUACGCUGAGCAGAAACUGCAGUAGAAUUCAAUAUGUGUCCGUGGAAGGAGGGAAUGCAUGGAAGCCCUGCAUGGCUCAUGGGAGUAUUGCUGAGUAUCUCACCAUCGCCUCUGUGUUGCUUGCGGUGAGGUACAUUUAGAUCCAGUCAAGCAAGGUAAGGCUGUGAAUCUGCGGUUUCUCUGAUUUCAAGAUUUCACUAACUGUUUAUGAAACCUUUUAUCUAGUUAACUCAGCUGCUUGCUAUUAAGAUGUGUUA
rnacentral:lncRNA from 1 species